rnacentral:rRNA from 1 species
GACGAACGCUGGCGGCGUGCUUAACACAUGCAAGUCGAACGGUGAAGCGCCUUCCUUUUUGGUGGGUGUGGAUGAGUGGCGAACGGGUGAGUAACACGUGAGUAACCUGCCCCCUUCUUCUGGAUAACCGCAUGAAAGUGUGGCUAAUACGGGAUAUUCUGGGUCUGUCGCAUGAUGGGCUGGGGAAGGGUAUUGUUUCGGGGGGGGUGGGGCUCGCGGCCUAUCAGCUUGUUGGUGGGGUGGUGGCCUACCAGGGCGGUGACGGGUGGCCGGCCUGAGAGGGUGGACGGUCACACUGGGACUGAGACACGGCCCAGACUCCUACGGGAGGCAGCAGUGGGGAAUAUUGCACAAUGGGCGCAAGCCUGAUGCAGCGACGCCGCGUGAGGGAUGGAGGCCUUCGGGUUGUGAACCUCUUUCGCCAGUGAAGCAGGCCUGCCUCGUUUGUGGGUGGGUUGACGGUAGCUGGAGAAGAAGCGCCGGCUAACUACGUG